UAUCAUCUGAAUGUGACUAUCCGUGAUCUUAUCGCCUGCAAGGAUCACCGAUUAGAUGGCGAAACAAAGCUCCCGUAGCCUGAAAGGGAGCGCAUUGCAAUGCGGUACAUCUGCGCACUUUUGGAAGCAGAUAUCGUCAGACAAAUAACCC
rnacentral:sRNA from 1 species